UUAAUUUUAAAAUAACGAUUUAGUUUAUUAAAUAUUUCUAUUUGAAAUAAAUUAUUGUAUCUCUUAAUUAAAUGAAUAUUUUUUCAGUGAAAAAUGAUAUUCAGAAGUGCUAUGUAUACCUAGUAUUCGUAGAAGUGAAUUGGGUGAUAAAUCUUCGUGCUGAAUCAAAUAAAAGCAAAGGUGUUCUCAUGCAUAAAUUCCGCACGCGCGGCGUGAUAUACAUGUACCGAUGAGAUAGUGUAGAAUCAUAAAUAUUGUGUCUUUUUAGUCGGUGAUCAAGAUUUCAAAGUGCAAUACUUCGUUCUCAUGGUUAACCAGGCAUGUCAUUUUUUCACUUUAACCAGAGACAAGAACCUGGUUCUUCGACAUUUCUCUACUUCCUGGGUCUUAAAUAGAUAUCUUAUUGUAAUAUAAAAAUGCGUAUUGAUAGAGAAAUAAAAAUAUGAAAAUUCGGAAAGACAGUAAAAAAUUCACAAGCGCUGAGUAUGGCGUCCAGCAGUGUACUGCUCAAACGAACGAAGGCUGGAAAAAUAUGAAAAAAUCAAUCAUAUUAACGAUUGCUGGAUUAGUUGAAUUCUUUUUACCAGAGAUGAACUAAGACGAAAGAGGAAUAGAGAGAGGACGCCGCAAUCGGAAAAUGUACUUCAAGAAGAAGAAGAACAAGAAGAAGAAAAAUUCCUCAACGUCGUUACACGAUCCUUCUCCUGUUAAGCAAGCUCUACGAAAACGAAAAGAACGAUAGAGGAAACGAAGAGCGGUGUCGUUAAAUUCCAUUUGCUCGUCUACGAAAAUAACACGAAAAUAGCGGAUGGCCGUUCGGUGGCCGCCUUUACGAUCCAAGUGUGUUGUAUCGUUUUUUUUUUUUUUUUCCCCUCUUUCCACGAGAGUUAAAGCUUCUGGUGGUAUCUAAGUGAAACGUAGAUGCACGCUAAGGGCUAAGGACGAUGAAGCUACGACGUUGUUCGUAUCUAUAAACGGGAGCGUAAAGUUCACUAAGGUGAACGAGACUUCGCGUUUCCGGUAAUAAGAUCUUAACACGCAACUGUUCGUAAAAUGCAAUUCUAGUUCAAACGAGAAUUUAAUAACGAAUCAUCUUGUUCCAUUCGAUUAUUCUUCCAUAUUUGAUCCACUUCUCUUAUUUGAUUCUAACCUAAUUCGCACAAAUGGAUGAUUAAAUUUUUUCAUUUAAAUAUAUAUUUACACGUGUCUUAAUUUAACACUGUCAAACAAGUGAAAUUGGCUAGUUUCAAAAUUUGAUUUCUUAAUCAAUAUAGAAUAUAUUAUCAAAACAAAUCCGUGUAUGUCGCUGAUAAAAUCUUCACAGAUGAAAGUUUAUAUUUUUAAUAGAAUAAUUAUUAAUAAACGCACAAAAAUUAUUUUAUUAUUGUGUGUAUAAUUUAAAUAACGUGUACCAGUUAUACCUUGAAAUAUAUUUUAAUAUACUGGUAUAUUUCU